ACACGUACUGUGCGAACGUUAUUCGGAAUCACUGGGCUUAAAGGGUGCGCAGGCGGCUGACUUAGUAGGGUGUGAAAUCCCCCGGCCUAACCGGGGAACUGCGUUCUAAACUGUUUGACUUGAGUGAGAUAGAGGUGUGCGGAACUUCCAGUGGAGCGGUGAAAUGUGUUGAUAUUGGAAGGAACGCCGGUGGCGAAAGCGGCACACUGGGUCUCAACUGACGCUGAGGCACGAAAGCCAGGGUAGCGAACGGGAUUAGAUACCCCAGUAGUCC
rnacentral:rRNA from 1 species